AACGAACGCUGGCGGCAUGCCUAACAAAUGCAAGUCGAACGAGACCUUCGGGUCUAGUGGCGCACGGGUGCGUAACGCGUGGGAACCUGCCCUUAGGUUCGGAAUAACUCCCCGAAAGGGGUGCUAAUACCGGAUAAUGUCUUCGGACCAAAGAUUUAUCGCCUUUGGAUGGGCCCGCGUUGGUUUAGCUAGUUGGUAGGGUAAAAGCCUACCAAGGCGACUAUCCAUAGCUGGUCUGAGAGGAUGAUCAGCCACACUGGAACUGAGACACGGCCCAGACUCCUGCGGAAGGUAGCAGUGGGGAAUAGUGGACAAUGGGCGAAAGCCUGAUCCACCAAUGCCGCGUGAGUGAUGAAGGACUUAGGGUUGUAAAGCUCUUUUACCCGGGAUGAUAAUGACAGUACCGGGAGAAUAAGCUCCGGCUAACUCCGUG
rnacentral:rRNA from 1 species